GAUGAACGCUGGCGGCGUGCCUAAUACAUGCAAGUCGAGCGAACGGACGAGAAGCUUGCUUCUCUGAUGUUAGCGGCGGACGGGUGAGUAACACGUGGAUAACCUACCUAUAAGACUGGGAUAACUUCGGGAAACCGGAGCUAAUACCGGAUAAUAUUUUGAACCGCAUGGUUCAAAAGUGAAAGACGGUCUUGCUGUCACUUAUAGAUGGAUCCGCGCUGCAUUAGCUAGUUGGUAAGGUAACGGCUUACCAAGGCAACGAUGCAUAGCCGACCUGAGAGGGUGAUCGGCCACACUGGAACUGAGACACGGUCCAGACUCCUACGGGAGGCAGCAGUAGGGAAUCUUCCGCAAUGGGCGAAAGCCUGACGGAGCAACGCCGCGUGAGUGAUGAAGGUCUUCGGAUCGUAAAACUCUGUUAUUAGGGAAGAACAUAUGUGUAAGUAACUGUGCACAUCUUGACGGUACCUAAUCAGAAAGCCACGGCUAACUACGUGCCAGCAGCCGCGGUAAUACGUAGGUGGCAAGCGUUAUCCGGAAUUAUUGGGCGUAAAGCGCGCGUAGCGGUUUUUUAAGUCUGAUGUGAAAGCCCACGGCUCAACCGUGGAGGGUCAUUGGAAACUGGAAAACUUGAGUGCAGAAGAGGAAAGUGGAAUUCCAUGUGUAGCGGUGAAAUGCGCAGAGAUAUGGAGGAACACCAGUGGCGAAGGCGACUUUCUGGUCUGUAACUGACGCUGAUGUGCGAAAGCGUGGGGAUCAAACAGGAUUAGAUACCCUGGUAGUCCACGCCGUAAACGAUGAGUGCUAAGUGUUAGGGGGUUUCCGCCCCUUAGUGCUGCAGCUAACGCAUUAAGCACUCCGCCUGGGGAGUACGACCGCAAGGUUGAAACUCAAAGGAAUUGACGGGGACCCGCACAAGCGGUGGAGCAUGUGGUUUAAUUCGAAGCAACGCGAAGAACCUUACCAAAUCUUGACAUCCUUUGACAACUCUAGAGAUAGAGCUUUCCCCUUCGGGGGACAAAGUGACAGGUGGUGCAUGGUUGUCGUCAGCUCGUGUCGUGAGAUGUUGGGUUAAGUCCCGCAACGAGCGCAACCCUUAAGCUUAGUUGCCAUCAUUAAGUUGGGCACUCUAAGUUGACUGCCGGUGACAAACCGGAGGAAGGUGGGGAUGACGUCAAAUCAUCAUGCCCCUUAUGAUUUGGGCUACACACGUGCUACAAUGGACAAUACAAAGGGCAGCGAAACCGCGAGGUCAAGCAAAUCCCAUAAAGUUGUUCUCAGUUCGGAUUGUAGUCUGCAACUCGACUACAUGAAGCUGGAAUCGCUAGUAAUCGUAGAUCAGCAUGCUACGGUGAAUACGUUCCCGGGUCU
rnacentral:rRNA from 1 species